ACAUGCCUACAAAAUAGUGUUAAUGCAUCAUAUUCCAUUAGAAAUCUGCAAUUAAGUGCACUCGGGAUAGAGUAGUACUGGGAUGGGUGAUUUCCUGGGAAGUCCUAAUAUUUUACAUGCC
rfam:Picea glauca, whole genome shotgun sequence.